rnacentral:tRNA from 1 species
GCAGUCGUGGCCGAGUGGUUAAGGCGAUGGUCUAGAAAUCCAUUGGGGUCUCCCCGCACAGGUUCGAAUCCUGUCGACUGCG